AGUGAACGCUGGCGGUAGGCCUAACACAUGCAAGUCGAACGGCAGCACAGUAAGAGCUUGCUCUUACGGGUGGCGAGUGGCGGACGGGUGAGGAAUACAUCGGAAUCUACUUUUUCGUGGGGGAUAACGUAGGGAAACUUACGAUAAUACCGCAUACGACCUACGGGUGAAAGCAGGGGAUCUUCGGACCUUGCGCGAUUGAAUGAGCCGAUGUCGGAUUAGCUAGUUGGCGGGGUAAAGGCGCACCAAGGCGACGAUCCGUAGCUGGUCUGAGAGGAUGAUCAGCCACACUGGAACUGAGACACGGUCCAGACUCCUACGGGAGGCAGCAGUGGGGAAUAUUGGACAAUGGGCGCAAGCCUGAUCCAGCCAUACCGCGUGGGUGAAGAAGGCCUUCGGGUUGUAAAGCCCUUUUGUUGGGAAAGAAAAGCAGCAGGUUAAUACCCCGCUGUUCUGACGGUACCCAAAGAAUAAGCACCGGCUAACUUCGUG
rnacentral:rRNA from 1 species